AUACUUACCUGGCAGGGGAGAAUACCAUGAUCAGGAAGGUGGUUUUCCCAGGGCAAGGCUUAUCCAUUGCACUCCGGAUGUGCUGACCCCUGUGAUUUCCCCAAAUGUGGGAAACUCGACUGCAUGAUUUGUGGUAGUAGGGGACUGCGUUUGCGCUCUCCCCUG
ensembl:snRNA U1 U1 spliceosomal RNA